GUCCUUACUUCAGCUGACAAUUUGGCAUGGGUUUAAGCAGUUGACAAUUUGGCAUGGGUUUAAGCAGUUAUGUGAAGGAUUAUUUCAGCUCUGACAAAAUGACAAAGAAUUCUUCUAAUUGUAGAGGAGUCUUAACAUAUUUCAGCAUUGUCUCUUUUAAUACUUUCAUUUAAAAAAAUAUUCAAAAGAAGAUGAGCUAAUAUGGAAUGAAAGCACGGGUUAAAGAAUUCUAUCCUUAGAUUAUACCCUCAUGAGGUUAUUUCUGUUCUUAAUACUUCUGAAUAUUUUGAUAUUUGUUUCAUUUUAUCACAAUUUCAGUCUCCAAUUACUUUAAAAGGAUGCAACUAACUCAAAUAUUAGGUUAUUUCCAAAUUAUGAAAACUCUAUUAGAAGUACUGUUAGUUAAUGUUUAUAUUCAACAGAAAGCAUUUUUGAAGAAAAAUAAAAUUUUAACAUUUUAACUUAAAAAGUUUAAUAAAAAACUAAACAAAUUAUUAUUAUUAUUAUUGACCAAGAGCCUAGGAGAGAAAUGAUUAAUUCUCAGAGUAAUUGGGUUAAAUAUGUUAAUUUAGAGCCUCAUCUUGAUUAUUAGUAGAACACAACACUGAAGAAUUCAUUGUUAAUUUGUGCCCACAUGCAUAUUUUAAGGCAAAUAGGAACUAAAUAAUGCAAAUAGUGGGUAACCCACAGUGUUGUGUAAGCAAUAAUGGCAACAUACAUAAAGCAGCUAAUAUGUCUGACACACGGUAUAACUCAUAAAUGGUAGUAAUUGUAUUUAUUCCUUAUUAUUUUUUACCUUUCUACAAAUACAAGAUUUUAUACUGCUCAAGCUUAAUACAUGACCGGAAAAAUUUUCAAAAUAAAUAAAGUUAAUUUCAGCUUCAUCUGCUACUCCUUUGCACUUUUCACAGAGCGCUGGUGGUGCAAUGGUUAAGAUCGUGGCUGCUAACCAAAAGGUAGGCAGUUGGAAUUCACCAGCUGUACCUUGGAAACCCUAUGGGGCAGUUCUACUCUGUCCUACAGGGCUGCUAUGAGUUGGAAUUGACUCAAAGGCAAUGAGUUUUGCACUUUUCAUAUCCUCUCUACUUUGCCCUGCCAGUAAUCUGUUUCCUGAUGACAGCCCCUUAUUGAUAAGGUGGCUACUCAAAAAAGGAUGGGCUUACCUGGGCUCCAUGUGGGAGACUGUCCCACACAGUUCACAUUUACUUUUAAUCCCCUCCUGUUUAAAAUAACAGCCAGAAGGUUUUAUUGUUCAUUGGAAAAUAGUAAAAUAACUUCUGUUAAGUUAUUGAUGGGCAAUAAUAGGUACUUUACUUAUCUUAGUAAUGCAUUUUCGCUUCUGCUUUUAAUGUGCCCACGCGAAAGUAUGAAAAAUAACAUUCCUGCUCUCAAGGAGCUUCAGAUAAAGUCAGGGAAAAAAAACAUAUUAUUUAGUUUAUAUUGAAUUUAAAAAGAGGGCAAGACUUAAAAUUCAGAAACAGUAAAACCCUCCCCCUACCCUUUACUUUUUUUUAAGCUUCUUCUGAAGGAGCCUUGGAGGUGCAAUGAUUAAACACUGGGUUGCUAACCAGAAGGUCACUGGUUCAAACCCACUAGUGGCUCUGAGGCAGAAAAGACCUGAUAAUCUGCCUGCAUGAAGAUUACAACACAGAAAACUCUAUAGGACAGUCCUAUUCUUUCUUAUAGGGUCACUAUGAGUCAAAAUCCACUAGACAGACACGACAACAAGCUUCUUCUAAUCCUCUCUUUCACUAGUAGAUAAAGAUGUUAUUCCUGCUAGUUCAUUCCUUUGAAAUGAAUACUUAGAGCAGGGGUCCUCAACAAAGAGUAGAUUUCAGUAAAUGUAUGUGAAAUUAAUUAUUAACAACAACAACAAAAAACCCUUACAUCUGACUCUAAAAAACUCAAGUUAUAGUAUGUGCUAAAAUUAAAGUUCAAACAAAAUGUUAUUGGAUUUGAGAAGUUUUGCCACCCUGUUAUGGACUGGAUUGUGUACCUCAAUUCAAUAUAUGUUGUAAAUUCUAACCUGUGUACAUGUGGUUGAAGCCCUGGUGGAACAGAGAGUAAGAGUUCGGCUGCUAUCUUAAAGGUUGGCAGUUUGAAUCCACUAGCCUUUCCUUGGAAACCCUAUGUGGCAGUUCUGCUCUAUCUUACAGGGUUGCAAUGAGUUAGAAUCAACUCGACAGCAAUAGGUUUGGUUUUUGAUUUAUACGUGUGGUUAUAAUCUUAUUUGGAAACUGGUUUCUUUGUUAUGUUAAUGAACCAGUAUUACUGUAGGAAGUGUUUUAAGCCAAUCUCUUUUGAGACAUAUAAAAGAGCAGAUUGAGCAACCGAUCAAGAAAGCAAGCAGAGAUGGAAGAAGAUAGAUGCCAUACCACAUGAGGCCUCCAAGAAACCAAGAAACAGAGGCUGAAAAGAGACAAGGACCUGCCUCCAGAGCCAACAGAGAGAGAAAGCCUUCCCCUAGAGCCAGCAACAUGGAUUUGGACUUCUAGCCUCCUAAACAGUCUUUGUUGCAAGAGAGUUCAGCGGAAGCUUCUGCCUUGUCAGCCAUCUUGGCCCCACCUGAGAGAAAAUUUUGAGUAGCUCAGCCAAGAUCCACCUGACGUCAACAAUGAUAUCCCUCAUUCCACAUCCUCUUCUGAAACUGGCUUGAACUUCCAGCAGUUCCCUGUCAAAUGUAAUGCUAUAUUUUCUGAAUUCCGAUGAAGCAGCAGACAGUCUUCUAGGUGCUGAAGCUGAAGCAGUAAAUGAAGCAAAGCCUUCAUGUCUGACAGGAGAUGCCAACACAGUCUCAAGUGUCCACCUGAUGCGAGAAGCUUACUCCUCAUCAGCAUCUCUCUUCAACCCAUUGUCCAGUUCAAUCCAUGUCUGAUGAGUUGGAUUCGGGAAUGGUCCCUGUCCUGGGCCAGCAGAAGGUUUGGGAACCAUGACCACUGGGAUUCUUCUAGUCUUAGUCAGACCAUUAAGUCUGGUCUUUUUGUGAGAAUUUGGGGUCUGCAUACCACUGUUCUCCUGCUCCUUUAGGGGUUCUCUGUUGUGCUCUCUGUCAGGGCAGUCAUCGGUUGUGGCCAGGCACCAUCCAGUUCUUCUGGUCUCAGGAUGAUGUAAGUCUCUGGUUCAUGAGGCCCUUUCUGUCUCUUGGGCUCAUACUUAUCGUGUGACCUUGGUGACCUUCAUUCUCCUCUGAUCCUGGUGGGUUGAGACAAAUUGAUGCAUCUUAGAUGGCCACUUGGUAGCAUUUAAGACCCCAGAUGCCACACGUCAAAGUGGGGUGCAUAAUGUUUUCAUAAUAGAAUUAUUUUGCUAAUUGACUUAGAAGUCCCCUUAAGCCAGAGUCCCCAAACACCCGCCCUUUCUCUGCUGACUUUCGAAGCAUUCAGUUUAUCCUGGAAACUUCUUUGCUUUUGGUCCAGUCCAGCUUAACUGACCUUCCCUGUAUUGAGUAUUGUCCUUCCCUUCACCUAAAGUAGUUCUUAUCUACUAACUAAUCAGUAAAUAACCCUCUUCCGCCCUACACCCUUCCCCAUUCAUAACCACAAAAGUAUGUGUUCUUCUCAGUUUAUACUAUUUCUCAAGAUCUUAUAAUAGUGGUCUUAUACAAUAUUUGUCCUUUUGCCUCUGGUUAAUUUCACUCAGCAUAAUGCCUUCCAGGUUCCUCCAUUUUACGAAAUGUUUAACAGAUUCGUCACUGUUCUUUAUGGAUGCAUAGUAUUCCAUUGUGUGAAUAUACCAUAAUUUACUUAACCAUUCAUCCUUCGAUGGACACCUUGGUUGCUUCCAGCUUUUUGCUAUUGUAAACAGUGCUGCAAUAAACAUGGGUGUGCAUAUAUCUGUUCAUGCAAAGGCUCUUAUUUCUCUAGGGUAUAUUCCAAGGAGUGGGAUUUCUGGGUUGUAUGGUAGUUCUAUUUCUAACUUUUUAAGAAAACGCCAGAUAGAUUUCCAAAGUGGUUGUACCGUUUUACAUUCCCACCAGCAGUGUAUAAGAGUUCCAAUUUCUCCGCAGACUCUCUGACAUUUAUUAUUUUGUGUUUUUUGGAUUAAUGUCAGCCUUGUUGGAGUGAGAUGGAAUCUCUGUAGUUUGAAUUUGCAUUUCUCUAAUGGCUAAUGAUCGAGAGCAUUUUCUCAUGUAUCUGUUAGCUGCCCGAAUAUCUUCUUUAGUGAAGUGCGUAUUCAUAUCCUUUGCCCACUUUUUGAUUGCGUUGUUCGUCUUUUUGUGGUUGAGUUUUAACAGAAUCAUGUAGAUUUUUGAGAUCAGGCGCUGGUCGGAGAUAUCAUAGCUGAAAAUUCUUUCCCAGUCUGUAGGUGGUCUUUUUACUCUUUUGGUGAAGUCUUUACAUGAGCAUAGGUGUUUAAUUUUUAGGAGCUCCCAG